rnacentral:miRNA from 1 species
UUAUACAUGCAGAUUCCGAUGUUUACGUCAUUGUAUUUUCAUAUAGUAUAUAUAUACUAUAUGAAAAUACAAUGACGUAAACAUCGGAAUCUGCAUGUAUAAUGA